CCACAACUGGGGGAUAGCCCGGCGAAAGCUGGGGUAAACCCGCAUGGUCCCAAGGAGUCACCUGGUUUUUUGGGUAAACAUUUAUGGGUUGUGGAGGGGCUUGCGUCUGAUUAGUUAGUUGGCAGGGUAACGGCCUACCAAGGCGAUGAUCAGUAGGGGUUCUGAGAGGAUUGGCCCCCACAUGGGUACUGAGAUACGGACCCAACUCCUACGGGAGGCAGCAGUAGGGAAUAUUGGGCAAUGGGCGGAAGCCUGACCCAGCCAUGCCGCGUGCAGGAUGAAGGCGCUCAGCGUUGUAAACUGCUUUUAUCUGGGAAGAACGGCAGUCCUGCGGGAUUGUGUGACGGUACCAGAGGAAUAAGCACCGGCUAACUCCGUGCCAGCAGCCGCGGUAAUACGGAGGGUGCAAGCGUUGUCCGGAUUUAUUGGGUUUAAAGGGUGCGUAGGUGGUUUAGUAAGUCUGGUUUGAAAGCUGGUCGCUUAACGAUCAGAUGUGGCUGGAAACUGCUGGACUUGAAUGCGGUGGCGGUAGCUGGAACGGGUCAUGUAGCGGUGAAAUGCAUAGAUAUGACCCAGAACCCCGAUUGCGAAGGCAGGCUAGCUACGUCC
rnacentral:rRNA from 1 species